CCUACGGGUGGCAGCAGUCGGGAAUUUUGGGCAAUGGGCGAAAGCCUGACCCAGCAACGCCGCGUGAAGGAUGAAAUCCUUCGGGAUGUAAACUUCGCAAGAACGGGAAGAAUAAGUAAGGGUUAAUAUCUCUUACGAUGACGGUACUGUUUGUAAGCUCCGGCUAACUCCGUGCCAGCAGCCGCGGUAAUACGGGGGGAGCAAGCGUUGUUCGGAUUUACUGGGCGUAAAGGGCGCGUAGGCGGCCACCGCAAGUCGACUGUGAAAUCUCCGGGCUUAACCCGGAAAGGUCAGCCGAUACUGCGGGGCUAGAGUGCAGAAGGGGCAACUGGAAUUCUCGGUGUAGCGGUGAAAUGCGUAGAUAUCGAGAGGAACACCUGCGGCGAAGGCGGGUUGCUGGGCUGACACUGACGCUGAGGCGCGAAAGCUAGGGGAGCGAACGGGAUUAGAUACCCCAGUAGUC
rnacentral:misc_RNA from 1 species